GCAUCUCCAAGAAGGUGGUUGUGCAUCGCUGAAGAUGGUAGCCAAUGUGUUUUGGGAAUCGAAGAUCCAUGCCAAAGAUACCAAAAACACAUGCAGUAGCUGCGAGAUUCCUAAGGAUCCUACGUAGCCUUCUACUACUUCAUCUACUGUUAGUUCUAGCUUUGUUUCUGCAAUUUCUAUGUUGAUUCCAUGCACCAGCUUUUGUGCUUCUUCUCCUUCUUCCUGCUUCAUUUGUAGUGCAAUGCUCUCCCGGUUUAAGGGCUUUGUUUUGGC
rnacentral:misc_RNA from 1 species